UACUAGAGUUUGACGACAUAUAAACAUGAUCUCAAUGAGCCUUGUAGUGGAUGUUGGCGAUAGUUGGUCCACUGUAGGAGUAGGAUGUACAUCAAGAUGAAAUCUAUCAAUCUAGAUAGAAAAAAGUAGUCCUAUGAGAUUUGAGAGGCUAAGUCUAAGAGUCUGUAGCCACAGUAGUGUGAUUGAUAGAAAAGAGUUUUCAUAAGGAUCACAAUUGGAUUUGAGCUAAUUAAAUCUAUCAUAUGACUGAUGAUGAGGUUUAACGAUUUAUCCAUGACCUGCCAUCU
rnacentral:lncRNA from 1 species